GUGGCUGUAGCUCAGUUGGUUAGAGUCCUGGAUUGUGAUUCCAGUUGUCGUGGGUUCGAGUCCCAUCAGCCACCCCA
rnacentral:tRNA from 3 species